GACGAACGCUGGCGGCGUGCUUAACACAUGCAAGUCGAACGAUGAGGCCCUGCUUGCUGGGUGGACUCGUGGCGCACGGGUGAGUAAAACGUGAGUAACCUGCCCUUUACUCUGGGAUAAGCCUGGGGAACAGGGUCUAAUACCGGAUAGAAGCGCUCAUCGUAUGGUGGGUGUUGGGAAGAUUUAUCGGUUUUGGCUGGACUCGCGGCCUAUCAGCUUGUUGGUGAGGUUAGGGCUCACCAAGGCGACGACGGGUAGCCGGCCUGAGAGGGUGACCGGCCACACUGGGACUGGGGCACCGCCCGGACUCCUACGGGAGGAAGCAGUGGGGGAUAGUGCGAAAUGGGCGGAAGGCUUAAGCAGCGACGCCGGGUGGGGGAUGACGGCCGUCGGGUUGGAAACCGCGUUCAGGAGGGAAGAAGCGAAAGUGACGGUACCUGCAGAAGAAGCACCGGCUAACUACGUG
rnacentral:rRNA from 1 species